UGGAAGUCAUCAAUUCUCUUAUUUCUCUUUUUUUUUUUUAGCAUUGCCAACUCAAGAAGAUAACUAAUUCAAUCAGCCUUUCAUUGUUUCCAUAUCCCUUGAUUCAACCGAUCCACCUCAUUGUGAUCACAUAACGCUUCAUUCAUUAAAUUCACUCGGAAGGCUGCAACUUGCUACUUCGUUCUCAUGAAAAUCAGCCUUUAAUUUCCAGCUAAACAUCACCCUAAAUUGGCCAACAUAUGUCGAAAUUAUGAUGAACUUCCAAACUGAAUUAACUAGCCUAAUAAGGUAGGUUGAUUCAAGCUUUUGGCUCAAUUUCUGGAGGUACAUAAAAAUUGGGAAACUAAGGCUUCAAAUUGGCUAACUAAUUGGAAUAAUGUCAAGGUCGGCUUUUAUAAGUAAUCGUGGCUUAAUUCCUAUUGCCUCUUAAAUCAUACUAAUGUAAAUCAAAUGUAUUACUAGAAUUAGUAAGAUCUAAAGCAAGUUCUAG
rnacentral:lncRNA from 1 species